AGCCUUCUGUAUCCAUGCUGAGAUUUCGUCACACACCAGACCACAAGGGCU
rnacentral:pre_miRNA from 1 species